rnacentral:rRNA from 1 species
UACACAUGCAGUCGAACGGUGAAGCAGAAGCUUGCUCUGUGGAUCAGUGGCGAACGGGUGAGUAACACGUGAGCAACCUGCCCCUGACUCUGGGAUAAGCGCUGGAAACGGCGUCUAAUACCGGAUAUGAGCUGCGAUCGCAUGGUCAGCAGUUGGAAAGAUUUUUCGGUCUGGGAUGGGCUCACGGCCUAUCAGCUUGUUGGUGAGGUAAUGGCUCACCAAGGCGUCGACGGGUAGCCGGCCUGAGAGGGUGACCGGCCACACUGGGACUGAGACACGGCCCAGACUCCUACGGGAGGCAGCAGUGGGGAAUAUUGCACAAUGGGCGAAAGCCUGAUGCAGCAACGCCGCGUGAGGGAUGACGGCCUUCGGGUUGUAAACCUCUUUUAGCAGGGAAGAAGCGAAAGUGACGGUACCUGCAGAAAAAGCGCCGGCUAACUACGUGCCAGCAGCCGCGGUAAUACGUAGGGCGCAAG